AUGAACGCUGGCGGCGUGCCUAAUACAUGCAAGUCGAGCGAACAGACGAGGAGCUUGCUCCUCUGACGUUAGCGGCGGACGGGUGAGUAACACGUGGAUAACCUACCUAUAAGACUGGGAUAACUUCGGGAAACCGGAGCUAAUACCGGAUAAUAUAUUGAACCGCAUGGUUCAAUAGUGAAAGACGGUUUUGCUGUCACUUAUAGAUGGAUCCGCGCCGCAUUAGCUAGUUGGUAAGGUAACGGCUUACCAAGGCGACGAUGCGUAGCCGACCUGAGAGGGUGAUCGGCCACACUGGAACCGAGACCCGGUCCAGACCCCUAGGGGAGGCAGCAGUAGGGAAUCUUCCGAAAGGGGCGAAAGCCUGACGGAGCAACGCCGCGUGAGUGAGGAAGGUCUUCGGAUCGAAAAACUCUGUUAUUAGGGAAGAACAAAUGUGUAAGUAACUAUGCACGUCUGGACGGUACCUAAUCAGAAAGCCCCGGCUAACUACG
rnacentral:rRNA from 1 species